rnacentral:tRNA from 1 species
GGGGGCGUGGUGGAAUGGUAGACACAACGGACUUAAUAGAAAAUCCGUUGACUUUAACGGUCGUGAGGGUUCAAGUCCCUCCGCCCCC